rnacentral:lncRNA from 1 species
CACUUUAUUUAUAAUUUGGGUUUGAUAUUUUCAAAAUAUUGUUAAAUCUUACUAUUUUUAUAUGUGCCCUUUGCUUUUGUGCAAUAUAUUCUGCUAUAUCAAAUAUAGCAUAAUAAUAAUGGUUCAAGUUUGAGGCAGCAAGAGACUUUAGGGCUUUGUUGAAGCUCCUGAGCAUAACGAGUCGAAGCUGAAAUAUGAGGUUAAGAAAUAGAGGUUAAGGCAGUGUGCAAAAUGCUUUAACUUCACUGGAAGAUGCUUUCUUUUGAUGCACC